UACGAAGGGGGCUAGCGUUGUUCGGAAUUACUGGGCGUAAAGGGCGCGUAGGCGGUCCUUCAAGUCAGGCGUGAAAGCCCCGGGCUCAACCUGGGAACCGCGCUUGAGACUGGCGGGCUAGAGUUCGGGAGAGGAUGGUGGAAUUCCCAGUGUAGAGGUGAAAUUCGUAGAUAUCGGGAGGAACACCGGUGGCGAAGGCGGCGACCUGGACAGUAACUGACGCUGAGACGCGAAAGCGUGGGUAGCAAACAGG
rnacentral:rRNA from 1 species